rnacentral:rRNA from 1 species
GAGUUUGAUCCUGGCUCAGAUUGAACGCUGGCGGCAGGCCUAACACAUGCAAGUCGAGCGGAUGAAGGGAGCUUGCUCCUGGAUUCAGCGGCGGACGGGUGAGUAAUGCCUAGGAAUCUGCCUGGGUAGUGGGGAGUAACGUCCGGAAACGGGCGCUAAUACCGCAUACGUCCUGAGGGAGGAAAGUGGGGGAGUCUUCGGACCUCACGCUAUCAGACGAGCCUAGGUCGGAUUAGCUAGUUGGUGGGGUAAAGGCCUACCAAGGCGACGAUCCGUAACUGGUCUGAGAGGAUGAUCAGUCACACUGGAACUGAGACACGGUCCAGACUCCUACGGGAGGCAGCAGUGGGGAAUAUUGGACAAUGGGCGAAAGCCUGAUCCAGCCAUGCCGCGUGUGUGAAGAAGGUCUUCGGAUUGUAAGCACUUUAAGUUGGGAGGAAGGGCAGUAAGUUAAUACCUUGCUGUUUUGUACGUUACCAACAGAAUAAGCACCGGCUAACUUCGUGCCAGCAGCAGCCGCCG